rnacentral:rRNA from 1 species
AUCAUUAUUGAGCAUGCUAAUACAAGCAUUUGCGAGAAGGGAGUCUUCGUGCUCUCGGUGCGAGCCGCCAACAUGGGGGCACAGGCUGCUGCCGAGCUUAGUUGCUCUGGCCGGUCUCUCUGAUGGCUGAUUUGCUUUGCGGCUACGGCUGUCGGUGGAGAGUGCUUCGCUUCGGCGUCACUCAUUCUUUAUUUUACUAAUUGUGCACGGCUUCGCCGUGCCCAUACAGGGAGCUUCGCGGGCAAGUGUGACUUCGGUCGCCCUCGCGUCUCUCGCUUUUGGCUGUGGGUCGUCGCACCCAUGGUCGUUCGGAUUGGGUACCUACCUCAUGCUUCACCCUUUCGUGGAGAAGACGAGGAGACUCGCCGGUGUGAACCGGCGGGCAGGUUUUAAAUGAUUGUCGCCCAAUCACGAACCUCUUGUUACUAGUAACGAGAACCCAUCAUGAAUGAGACUCUGUCGCGAGGCAUUAGUCUAAAACAAAAGUACAACCCUGAACGGUGGAUCACUCGGCUCGUGGGUCGAUGAAGAACGCAGCAAAUUGCGCGUCGACAUGUGAACUGCAGGACACAUGAACAUCGACAUUUCGAACGCACAUUGCGGUCCAUGGAUUCCGUUCCCGGACCACGCCUGGCUGAGGGUCGGUAGCUAAAACUGAAAUGCUCUUUGCGUUUCGAUGGUGGGAGCCUCGCUGACGGUGUGACUUCGGUUGCCCGGGCGUCUCCUGAAAUGAGCUCCGUUAGGAGCUGGACUAGUCACGAAAGAACGGCGGUGUCGCGUCACGGCAGUUGUUUUCGGUGGUCCGCGCAGCGUCUUAGUAUGCUGGCGCCGGUUGCCCCGUGCUUCUCGCUCAGCGUAUCCUACCGUAGUGGCAUUUCACUAUUUCCUAACACGACCUCAGAGCAGGCGAGACUACC